CUGAUGCUGCUUUUGAGUUGUGUACGUCAAUCCAUCGCCGACACUGCGACAAAUAUGAGUGUGGUAAUGAAAAUUAUUCGAGUUUAAUUUUGUUAUUUGGACAAGGUAUUGACAGAAGGAUUCAUCGUUUCAUUUGAACUAAGUCAAAGCAUAAGACACUUUCAUUACGAUGAUUAAAAAAAGCUAGCUAUAAGAACUAAGCAACUCUUGUUUCAAGAAAAAAACAUUUUUUGGAAAUUGGGUGAUCAAAAUAACUAUACCUCAACACACUUUCCAAUUCUGGCGAAUUCCAAUAAGACUGCGUCCAGACGAGGAUUUUUUCGUCACUCAUUGUUAUCAAAUUCUCUUUUAAUGCUAUUUCUUUUAUAUCACAUUCUCAAGUUCUUAUAUAUAUUAAUGAUUAGCUAAUUUUUAUCGCUAUUCGUCUUUUUCAAACCUUACAUACUUAUAUAUUUUUGUAUUACAUACAUUCGAAGCCGAGCGCUAUUGCAACUAUAAAAAAAUUUUAAAUGAACGGAAUGUGGAAGUGCGUACCAGUGACCUAUUAUGUACACUUCGCCUUUUCUCAAAAUAGUCCUCGUGCGAAUCAAUUCUGGAGUCAGUGACCUACAAUCUCAUUGUCCAGACACUCAAAACGAUAUUAUUAAAAACUUACAACUACAUUUUCGUUGAGUUAAAUGAUUAAAAUUAAGAUUGAAUACGAAAUCAUAGUUAAUAAAAAUAAAAAAGUAAAUGCUCACAUUAACUGCGCAUGAGUGAACGGAUAUAACUAACUGAUAUGUAAUAAACAUGUUUUUAAU